ACGUCUUCCUUUACUAACUGCAUAUGACUUUGCUCUACUUAUAUUGUUUAAUACGUACUGAUGAAUUCAGCAGCGAAUUGGCUAAUGCUGCUAAUGAUUUUACUUUUUUUUUUUCACAAUGAACAGUCUUCUUUGUGUAGUUUUCAUUAUAUUGCACUCUUAUUUUUCAUUAUGUACAUGCCUGCAAUUCGCAGCUCGCUGUUUUUGUUGUUGUAUGGUAUUGUUGUUUUGCCUUCAUUUGUUUUGUCUGGUCCUUUGUAGUUUGAAUGUUGUCACAUGAUCCAAAUAGGAGAAGGUUGUAAUUUUUUCUUCAUAUUGUUACUCUGCUUAGCUAUAUAUUUUUUCAUUAUUAUUAUUUUUUUUUACUAGCUCCUUGAUCACCACCCCAUUGGGAAGAAACUAAAUCACGACCCCCAAAUGGUAGUCUUCCCAUGCAGAUACAGGGAUGUCACACAGAUCCAAAUGGAAACAUCGAACACUGUAAAACCCACUGUGCAGACAGGACCAAUGGUGACAAUAUAAGACCAUGCCGAGCUUCAUGGACGGUUCAAACUCAUCCUGCCCAGGAACGGCUGAAAACGUUUACAGUCAAUCAACAGGGGAACAUGGAAAGAGAGGAUUGGACGUGAAAUAGAGGUUCUCCGGGACAGCCAUAGGGGAAAGACUGUGGCAUCUUCACGUUGAUGGUAGACUGAUAUGCCAACUCUGAGGAAGUGGUGGUGUAUAUUGCUAGCGGACAAUUUCAAACUUGGGUGCAUGCCACAGGAAAGAGUUUGCCCUAUGGACAGAUGAGGCAAAAGCAUUACUGCAGGGUUAAGUGCCACCAGUCUAUCAGUUACAGAGGUGAAAUUUGAAUAUAAUUGCUGAGGAAGAGGUGCAACCACAGCUCCUUCAAGUUAGUGGUGGCCCACUCCAAAAAGAUAUGGCGGGAAAAAAUGUUUUGCUAAAAGGAUUGUGCAAGACAGCACAAAAGCCUCGGACAGGGCUGGGGGUGUGGAAUCAAUGCAGUAGGAGUUCCCAAGCAUCCUGCAGAUGGAAGAGGAUGAGCACGAACUACAAUGUCUUGGAGCCAUUCAAGUUCUGUUUCAACCAUCUGGAAGAUGGAUUUACCUUUUUUGAGGAGAUUGUUGACUAAAGAAAAUAUCUGGUGUUCUCUCAAUAAUAAUAAAAAAUAAUAAAACUAAAAAAAUAAAGUUUACCACAUUAGAACUGGUUGUAUUGAGUUCAUUUUUCUACACUUAUAAAUUAGUUGUUUUUUUUCUUUUAUCCCAGAUGUUAGUUGUAGGUAGUUUUAAUUACCUGUGAUGAAGGCGGGAGUGCUUGCCGAAAAAUGUCAGGUAAUUAAAACAACCUACAACUAUUGUCUGGGAUAAAAGAAAAAAACAACUAACACAUGACAACUAUUUUGUCAUUUCUGUUUGAAAUAAAGGUGCCUUUCCUGGAGCAGAAAGUUUAAUAUAGUUUCUGAAUUAGUUAAUUAGGAUCUUCACCCACAUGAAUGAAUUUAAGUAGCAAAAUGAAAGACAAAAUUGGUUUGGUUGCAACAUUGAGAGAAUAUUACGUUUUUGAUACAUUAAAUUGUAAUGAAGCUAUAUUAAUGUGUCCGUUCAUGAAAAUGUAAGGAUGACAGCAAUUUCUAAUAAUUCUCAAUUGGAGUAUAUUUUACAAUUGACAAACUAAAGUACACACUGUGAUAGGUCACAGGCGAUCUUUCAGUCACUAAUUAAACCUUUAUUGCAAUAGUGUGUAUUUUAAUUUUGAUGUACUGUAACCGUGUUUUUCAUUUUGGUAAAAUCAGCAGGCUUUGACAAACUGACCGCGCUUAAAGAGUUAAUCUCCCGAUUUCACCAAAUCAAUUUAAGGAGCAUGGAAAUAAAUUAUUAUUUAAAUAAUAAUGAGUGAUGCUGAAACCGAAAAUAAAAGA